rnacentral:rRNA from 1 species
GACGAACGCUGGCGGCGUGCUUAACACAUGCAAGUCGAACGGAAAGGCCCUGCUUUUGUGGGGUGCUCGAGUGGCGAACGGGUGAGUAACACGUGAGUAACCUGCUCUUGACUUUGGGAUAACUUCAGGAAACUGGGGCUAAUACCGGAUAGGAGCUCCUGCUGCAUGGUGGGGGUUGGAAAGUUUCGGCGGUUGGGGAUGGACUCGCGGCUUAUCAGCUUGUUGGUGGGGUAGUGGCUUACCAAGGCUUUGACGGGUAGCCGGCCUGAGAGGGUGACCGGCCACAAUGGGACUGAGAUACGGCCCAGAAUCGUACGGGAGGCAGCAGUGGGGAGUAUUGCACAAUGGGCGGAAGCCUGAUGCAACAACGCCGCGUGCGGGAUGACGGCCUUCGGGUUGUAAACCGCUUUCGCCUUUGACGAGGCGUGAGUGACGGUAAUGGGUAAAGAAGCACCGGCUAACUACGUG